AUGUCACAAAAGAAGUGUGUUUUUGGUUGCGAGGGCAAGACAACCCUGCACAGAUUACCAAAGAAAAAACCAUCAAGGGACCAGUGGGCGGAGUUUAUUUUUAAAGAGCAUCGACGGAGUUUUGCAAGUGUUUUUGUUUGUUCCCUGCAUUUCGAAGAUGCUUGUUUUACAAACAAGGCCCAGUUUGACGCCGGAUUUGCAUAUAGUUUAUUUCUUAAGGAUAAUGCAGUCCCAACGAAAAAGGGUCACGAUCGUGUGUUGGAACCGCAGGCGGUGAGUAAAACUGCUUCAAAUAUCUCUGCCUCCUUGUUAGAGGAGACCCGGGUUCGAGCCCCGCUCGGAGUGAGUCGUUGCUGCUGCUGCUCUCGUUCAGUUUCAGCCUCGGGAUCUGAUUCUGGAUCAUAAAUAUACGGCUGAAUCUGACUGUUAGCCAUGGUUUGUUUUGGACGAUGUUUUUUUCCUCACGGUAAUGUCGCAGCUUCCAGCUCUCAACGCAAAAGCCUACUGCCGCGUGUGAUUCUUUAGCUCCGCCCACACGUCACGCCUCCAGCGGCUCGUGUUUUUCCGAAAAAAAUCGGCACAGACUAUUUUUCUCUUAUAAAUAUAAUAAUACUAAAGACUUUUUGGAGAUAUGAAGGAUGCAGUACUACUCUAUAGGUACUCAAGAUUAACAGGAGAUUGAGUGAAAAUGAGCAUUUCACCCCCCACUUUAAAUGGACUUGAGAACAGACCAUGUGUCCAGAGGAGAGCGUUUUUUAUUCAACUAUCCAGCUGUUGAGAAGACGCGCUCCGACUGCACUGAUGUCCCAGGGACACUCAGGUAAUGCUGCGCAAGGUGGGAGUAUUACUGCCAAUUGUCCACCACAAAAUCCGGUCGCUCUCAGCUUGCAAUGGUCCUUUUCAUAACUCAGAAUCUCCUGUAACUAGAUGCGCGAAUAAGACGAAUUCGCGUCUACCUCUCCGCGAGACCUCCAGAUGCGCGGAAACGCAUCUUUACCAGGCGGCAAGGAAGUCGACCAGAAGUUGAAGUCGGCCGCGUGCCGCCAUCUUGUAGCAGAACUUCAUUUGCGUUAGCAUUACCAUUGACUCCCAUUCAUUUUGGCGUCACUUUGACAGCGAAUAACUUUACAUCUGAGGCGUUUAAAGACUUUAUUAUUUAUUUCUAAAGAUACACGACAAUGUACUGUAUAAAGGGCUCCAUUACCUUCUAUGUUACAUUAUGGCCCUGUAGAAACAGUUUUUGUAAAAAUAGGCUAAUGAUUGCGUCAUAACCACUUGACUCUCUGUCGCAUUACCGAACAGACAGGAGGAGAAGCUCGAAGGCAAUUAACUUAAUAUGGCAUACUGGCAUUACAUUUUAAAAUACUAUACAAAAUAAUUAAUCAGAAUACUUACUCCUGCUCACUCACAACAAAGAACUCCCCGUUCAAGCUCACCGUCACCGGAAAUGCUAAAAAACGCUAAAAAUGGGCUUCACUUGUCUCAAUUGAGUUCCAAUGGGGUCGCUGUGUCCAUUUCUUUUACUGUCUAUGGUCUUUACAUUGCCUUAACAUUGAAAUCAUUCGCGCCAGACGCUCUAUUCGCUUUCGACGUCACUGGGUCUUAUAGGCACGUAAAAUUGCUGGUAUUUUCUGUCUAGCUUUUGCAAGGCAUACUGCACUUUCGGAAUUCUUAAUUUUCUUUUUCUGCUUGUUUGUGAGUUUUGUUACAUCUAGAUUUUUUAAUUGUUUAAUUAUUUUAAAAUAAAUACUGUACAUAUUUAGUUAAAAUUGAUUCCCUGUUUUCAUUUUCGAAACUUUUUUUGGUUGGUCCGAUCGAUUAUGCAAUCGAUUUUCGAACUAAAAGUGACAGCCUUAGUCACUUCUGAUAUAAUCCACAUGCCACUGCAGUCAGCAUAUUGUCUGACACUGUUCUGUAUUUGAGCAUGCUUUUCCUGGUCAUGAGGCUCCUAAACCCAUCCUGACACUCAUCAAUCCCUGAAGCCUGAGUCUGAUCUUCACAAGGCCAGACAGAUGUGUGGCUCACAGCUAAACCCAACAUGAAC
rnacentral:lncRNA from 1 species